rnacentral:rRNA from 1 species
UACGAAGGGGACUAGCGUUGUUCGGAAUUACUGGGCGUAAAGCGCACGUAGGCGGAUUUGUUAGUCGGGGGUGAAAUCCCGGGGCUCAACCUCGGAGCUGCCUUUGAUACUGCAAAUCUCGAGUCCGAUAGAGGUGGGUGGAAUUCCUAGUGUAGAGGUGAAAUUCGUAGAUAUUAGGAAGAACACCGGUGGCGAAGGCGGCCCACUGGAUCGGUACUGACGCUGAGGUGCGAAAGCGUGGGGAGCAAACAGG